rnacentral:rRNA from 1 species
AAGGUGGCCUGUGAGGGUUGCUGGAGGUAUCAGAAGUGCGAAUGCUGACAUAAGUAACGAUAAAGCGGGUGAAAAGCCCGCUCGCCGGAAGACCAAGGGUUCCUGUCCAACGUUAAUCGGGGCAGGGUGAGUCGACCCCUAAGGCGAGGCCGAAAGGCGUAGUCGAUGGGAAACGGGUUAAUAUUCCCGUACUUGGUGUUACUGCGAAGGGGGGACGGAGAAGGCUAUGUUGGCCGGGCGACGGUUGUCCCGGUUUAAGCGUGUAGGUGUGUGUUCCAGGUAAAUCCGGUUCACUUUAACACUGAGGCGUGAUGACGAGGCACUACGGUGCUGAAGCAACAAAUGCCCUGCUUCCAGGAAAAGCCUCUAAGCAUCAGGUAACAUCAAAUCGUACCCCAAACCGACACAGGUGGUCAGGUAGAGAAUACCAAGGCGCUUGAGAGAACUCGGGUGAAGGAACUAGGCAAAAUGGUGCCGUAACUUCGGGAGAAGGCACGCUGACACGUAGGUGAAGUGAUUUACUCACGGAGCUGAAGUCAGUCGAAGAUACCAGCUGGCUGCAACUGUUUAUUAAAAACACAGCACUGUGCAAACACGAAAGUGGACGUAUACGGUGUGACGCCUGCCCGGUGCCGGAAGGUUAAUUGAUGGGGUCAGCGCAAGCGAAGCUCCUGAUCGAAGCCCCGGUAAACGGCGGCCGUAACUAUAACGGUCCUAAGGUAGCGAAAUUCCUUGUCGGGUAAGUUCCGACCUGCACGAAUGGCGUAAUGAUGGCCAGGCUGUCUCCACCCGAGACUCAGUGAAAUUGAACUCGCUGUGAAGAUGCAGUGUACCCGCGGCAAGACGGAAAGACCCCGUGAACCUUUACUAUAGCUUGACACUGAACAUUGAGCCUUGAUGUGUAGGAUAGGUGGGAGGCUUUGAAGUGUGGACGCCAGUCUGCAUGGAGCCGACCUUGAAAUACCACCCUUUAAUGUUUGAUGUUCUAACGUGGACCCGUUACCCGGGUUGCGGACAGUGUCUGGUGGGUAGUUUGACUGGGGCGGUCUCCUCCUAAAGAGUAACGGAGGAGCACGAAGGUUGGCUAAUCCUGGUCGGACAUCAGGAGGUUAGUGCAAUGGCAUAAGCCAGCUUGACUGCGAGCGUGACGGCGCGAGCAGGUGCGAAAGCAGGUCAUAGUGAUCCGGUGGUUCUGAAUGGAAGGGCCAUCGCUCAACGGAUAAAAGGUACUCCGGGGAUAACAGGCUGAUACCGCCCAAGAGUUCAUAUCGACGGCGGUGUUUGGCACCUCGAUGUCGGCUCAUCACAUCCUGGGGCUGAAGUAGGUCCCAAGGGUAUGGCUGUUCGCCAUUUAAAGUGGUACGCGAGCUGGGUUUAGAACGUCGUGAGACAGUUCGGUCCCUAUCUGCCGUGGGCGCUGGAGAACUGAGGGGGGCUGCUCCUAGUACGAGAGGACCGGAGUGGACGCAUCACUGGUGUUCGGGUUGUCAUGCCAAUGGCACUGCCCGGUAGCUAAAUGCGGAAGAGAUAAGUGCUGAAAGCAUCUAAGCACGAAACUUGCCCCGAGAUGAGUUCU